UUAAACGCAGGGCACAGAGAAAUAUUUGGAGCUAGCAUUAGAUCAGACAAAUAGUAGGCUAAUGUUUGGUAAUUAUGACUAUAAGAAGGUGUCUUAAUGGAAAAGUAUAUUCAACCGAGAAAACUAAAGAUACAUCCAUGCACGUAACGUUAAAACGCGGCUGGCCUUCCGGAGGGACCGACUGUAUAAUAACCGUCUAUGGACCGACAGCUCGCGACAGAAGAUCCCGACCGAGACGCGUCGUUUGCGGCUUCAACGGCUUAUCCCAAAAACAAAUGCCCAUUCUUCCUGCAGUAAAAAACAAUUUGUGACCUGCAAUCAGUGAAUAAAGUGCAGCUCUACAGACUUCACUGUCAGUGAGUAUUAAGUGACAUUUCAUUCAGAUAUCUUGAGGUGAGAGGUAAAGGGAA